rnacentral:ncRNA from 1 species
UCUUGGUUUAAUUCUGGCCAUAGAAGGGUUUAUGAUUGUUUUCACAUAAGCAUGUUCUGUAUUUUUUAAUUUUUAGGAAUUAUUUUUUUCUAUUUUUUAGUGGUGAAAUCUUAUUUUAUAUGUGGUUAUAGUUUAGGGCAAUCUUAAUAUUGGUGGAUAAUUCGCAGUGCCAGCAUCCGCGGUUAUUCUGCUUACCGGGCUCUUUUGAUUGGUUAAAAUGUUUCCGAUUAUAUUUUUAAAUAGCUGCAAUAGGUUUAUUUAUUUUAGAUAUAAAAAUCGGAUUUGAGUUGAACUUCUUUUUGAGGAUAGAGAUUAGAGACCUCUUUACUUGGUUUGAAAUUUUUUCCAUGGUUUCAACUAAAAGGAUUUGGCAGCUGAUGAUUUUCAUCCGGGGGAGUGUGCUUUUUAAACAGACAGUACGCUUAAGAGUUUUCCAUUUUUAUUUUAGUUAGUGUAUAUCCGGUUUAAUAUCUGUGAUUAGUUUCUUAAUAGAUGUAUGAUCAAUGUUUUAAGUCAGGUCGAUGUGCUGCUAAUAAUUUGGGUAAUUGUGCAUUACAUUAUAAAGGUUAGUUCUGUAAUUAUGUUUCUAAUUGAUUUAGGACUCGGUAGUAGGGUUAUUUUAGUUUGAUAACUCGAAUGUGAUUUAGUUGGGGUACACAUCGCCCGUCAGUUUCAAUGUUAAUUGGGAUAAGUCGUAACAUGGUAGCGGUUGGGGAACCAGUCGCUAGUUGGUU